AGCUCCGAUAGCGUAUAUUAAAGUUGUUGCAGUUAAAAGCUCGUAGUUGAACUUCUAAGGAUUGAAGUCGCCUCAUGGCUUGUAUUGAUAUCCUUAUCCGCUUUGAUUUAGCAAUACGCACUUUGUUGGGCGAUUGUGUAAUCAAGCAAUUUACUUUGAAAAAUUAGAGUGUUUCAAGCAGGCGAUUUGCUGGAAUACAUUAGCAUGGAAUAAUAGAACACGACCUCUUAGGCAUUUUAUUGGUACAUGACUGGAGGUAAUGAUUAACAGGGACAGUUGGGGGCAUUAGUAUUGCAUUGUCAGAGGUGAAAUUCAUUGAUUAGUGCAAGACUAACUUAUGCGAAAGCAUUUGCCAAGGAUGUUUUCA
rnacentral:rRNA from 1 species